rnacentral:tRNA from 1 species
GAUAAAGUGGCUGAAGUGUUAGGUAAUAAAUUGUAAAUUUAUUUAUGGUUGUUAAACCCUUUAUCA